rnacentral:lncRNA from 1 species
GGAAAGUAUCCGAAAUUCUAUAUUACAAUUGUAUUGCUCAAAAAUACAAUAAAUGAGGCAAGUAAGCUUCCCAUCAGAUAUAACACAAAUGUACGAUAAUUACAAUCUAUUUUAAGCAUCAGCAACCACAAGUGGUGAAAAAAAAACACAUAUGAAAAUGCAUAAUACUAUAUAUUUCUACUUUGAUUUUAUGGGUCUAUGUUCAAAAAUUAAGAAAAAUCGAUGACAUAAUAUGAAAACUCAUUAGCAUUAAAAUACACCAACAGAUUUGACAUAAAACAAGUGAACUUUUAAAGAUCGUGUUCGAACAGCCUUUGAUGACUUAACAAUAUCCAUUGCGUGUACACAUAACACAAUUCGUGAUCGGGUAAAAUAAUGGUUAUGAUAACAUAAUAAGUCAGUGAAAGUCAAAUAUGCUUUGUCACAAUACAAAUGCAACAAAGCGACAAGGCCCUAUAAAAUUCGUUAGCUAGCUAUAAAAUCAGCUUUAACCCACAAUUUUUUAUAUCCGAAAUGCCUGUACCAAGCCAAGUUAGUAUUAUCACAGUUGUUAUCCGUUCGUUUGAUGUGUUUUAGCAUUUGACUUCGCCAUUUGUUUUUGGACUUUCCAUUUCAGUUUUUCUCGGAUUUUGGUAUUUUUGUUAUUUUACUUAUCAAUGUAGAAAUGCGCAUAUGGUGCAAAUUUAAUACCGUUAAUGUUAUUUUCGAAUUGGCAAUAACACCACAUAUCUAUUUUUUAGAUUCUAUAUACAUAUUUGCUUGAAGUGUUCUAGCUAUUUUCGAGAUAGAAACUGCACACCUUUCCAAAUAUCCCCUGAAAUCUUGUAAUUAAUAUUAAGAUUUGAGCGCAACACCUAGCAUAGAAUGUACUUGUCACAAGAUGUCUUUUACAGAUCAUGUUAAUGUUGAUAGCUCAUAUUAAAUUUUACCCAAAACUAUGCGUAAAAAUCGCAUGUUUAGAUCAGUGACAUUACAAACAACAUCUCUACACUCAAAGGAAAAUAAUCAUAGUUUUUAAAGGGUUGAUUGGAUUGCAUUGUCAUAAGUCAAACACAUAGUACUUUUAUC